AUUCGUAAAACGGCUUAGAUCUCCAACGACAUAUUUCAUUCAUUGUGAUUUGAUCGACACAGAAAAGAAUCUGUUCAAUAGCAAAAGGUCAAAUGUUUUAGCCCUGUUUGAUGUGAAAGGGAAGCCUUAUGAAAAGGUGAGCUACCAGGGUUCUCCGCAACAGGUUUUGCGAGACUGCUCCACGGACGAGUUCAUAAAUAGCAUCACUAUUAGCGUCAAAGAUGAAAAUAGCGAACCCUUUGAUUUCAAAGGCUUCCCUCUUCUUUUUGAAUUAGAGUUAAAUUAAAUUUCUAUAUAUACGCAAUGUCUUCGGCGAAUCUGUUGCCUCCAAGCGCACCGCCUGCCGAGAAUGAAAGAAGACUCGAUCCAAGUCUUCCCGAAACGACAAAUGCCGAGAAUUUCCGGCUAACUGAAAUAAGUAGAAUUGAAAAAGAAAUAUCUGCUGAGGUCGAGCAUUACAGACUUGUGUUGAAAAAAUACAAAAAAGCCCGGAAAGCGCUGCACUAUUCCCUGGUUGGCCUUGCCGCCGUCACGGCAGUUCUCUCUUCUGCGCUGUUGCAACAUCACUCACUGGUGUUGGAAUUGUUGUCGGCGCGCCUGUUGCCGGGACAGCAGCUUUAUCUGGCGCGGUUUCCACUGGCCUGUCCGUUGUCAACAAGAAGCUUGAACGCAAGGUUAAUAAACACUCGAGAAUCCAUUCUCUGGCUAUCGGGAAACAUGACUCGAUAAACCUCGCCGUCUCGCAAGCUCUGAACGAUAAUCCCGUUUCUGACACGGCGUUUCAACUGAUCACACGUGAAAUCCAGAAAUAUCGCCAGCUUAAAGAGACUUUACCCUCAAACUUUGCGCAAAUACAAUGAAAUCCAAUCCAGCCAGAUAUUGAAAAAAUAAGAAACCAGGUUCGGGACCAGGUUCGGGAACAGGUUCGGGAAGAAUAUACAAAAAAAAAUCUUGCGGAUUAAACAGCAGAUUUGAACUAAAUCUUGAGCAAAAAACACGAAACUAUCUCUUAGUCUUGUUAAAAACAGAUGAUUGUGUUACACCGCGUUACCUUCACGCGUGACGUUGCGUGAUUGGGUUACGUUACUGUCACGCGUGACGUUGCGUGACAGGCCACACAAAAGGGCAAAAAUCCUGUCGGGGGGUGCUCGUUAGCUGUUCUUUUGCCUAGCCACGGGCUAGGACUUUUUCGCGCCGCUGACAAGGCGGCGGCUGUCCCGUUUUACCUCCGGACGAGGUUUGAGGUCCCGAGGGUCCUCUGAGCACCACCCAGUCUCCACUGGGCCGGGGCGGGUUCACUCGGGGUUGUCACCGUGGACGGUCUCACCCCAUAACCCCUGACAAGUUCCUGUACGUGCCGUAUUAGGAAUCAGAGGUGGCCACCCUCACAUCCAAAAGCACCAUCAUUUGCUCGCUGAUAAACAGUAAAAUUACUCAAGCUAUAUACAUUGAUCCAGUCGCCUCUCCUGUCACUUGUGGUGUUGCUUCUCUGUCCUUUGCCUAAAUUUCGCAGGUUUUCACACACACGCAUGCGCUUUUGGGCGGCGAGAUGAUGUCAUGCUUGAGCCAUAUUUAGAGAUUGUAUGAAUAAAUUAUAUCCCAACAGCACUUCUGAAGGCCAAAAUGAUUGUGCUGUUUCACGCUAUUUGCUUCAUUUUCACGGAACUUUCUACACCCGUUUGGCAGAAAGAGGUCAGACAGAUAACAUAUCAAGUCGUUGAAGCCAUGCGAGAAGCAGAGGAAACUUAAACGGGCUCGAUUGAGGCCCUUGUUCAAGGAAUAACACAUGUUACGAGCGAUCGAACGCUGCGAUCAAAUCUUGCUAUUUUCUCCUGCUCGCUUCACUUCGGUAGCUUCUGUGGUGAAAAAAUAACUUACAGCGCGUUGACUGAGCGUAGUUUUUUGUUAAAUUCUGUUCUGGUUUGUUAUUUUCGGCCCAAACAAAAAAAUCUUCAGUUGUCCUCCAUGUUUUUCAGCACUGCUCGGCCAAGGGUCUGGGGAAUAUUUGGUUCCAGUCUAUCUGAGAAAAAUGUCACGCAACUCGCAGAUUUCAAAACAAAACUUUUGCUUCGAACGUAGGUUAUAUCUUCGCCGCCUUUUUUCGCUAACGCCACUCGCCAAAAUGGAACCACUCGUGCCAAUCGUAACCGUUCCAGGAGCAUAUUUCUAAAAAAUUCACGUAAUCGAGGUCUUCUUCUAUGAAAAGUUUUGGCUCCUUCGCCGGCCUUACCGAGGGUUUAUGAAUAGUUCCAUCCCUUUCUAAACAUGGGAAGCAACAACCCUCGAAAUGGCAGUCCGGAUAUUCAACACAAAUUACCGUUCGCACAAUUUGCUGAUUGACUUCGCAGAAUGAUAGUUUUAAAAUAUUCUCGUGUAACUUGUCCCACCCCAUUUCGUUUUUUUCCUUAAUUUUUAUCGCGAUGUACUCCUUGUGAAUCGUCUCACGAAGCUCUGGAGGGAGGUUUUGAAUUGCCUCGGAAAGUUUAACGUCGGACGAAUAUCUUGCGGCAGCCAUGUCGGCGUAUACACUGUUCAUACACUUCUUCAAUAGGAAAAAAAUUCUGACACAUUUUUGUAUAUACUAGUCAAGGUGGCACAUCCGCGCAUAUUGAUUACAGACGUUGCGGACAUUGCUGCUUCGCUGGACCCGCUUUUUCGCCCAAUUUUACUGCUGUACUGUUUGCGUACACACACACAUAGAAGAUGAGGGUUCUGGACACAGCACUGAUCAAGGGAUGAGAACGGGCAAAAUAAGCCUCCCAGCUUAACUUCCCUCACAAGUAUCGGGAAGUUAAGCUGGGAGGCUUAUUUUGCCCGUUCUCUUCCUCCUUGAUCAGUGCUGUGCCAGAACCCUCAUCUUCUAUAUG